rnacentral:rRNA from 1 species
AAACGACUCUCGACAACGGAUAUCCCGGCUCUCGCAUCGAUGAAGAACGUAGCGAAAUGCGAUACUUGGUGUGAAUUGCAGAAUCCCGUGAACCAUCGAGUCUUUGAACGCAAGUUGCGCCCGAGGCCACUAGGCUAAGGGCACGUCUGCCUGGGUGUCACGC